rnacentral:tRNA from 7 species
GGGCCUAUAGCUCAGUUGGUUAGAGCAGCGGACUCAUAAUCCGUUGGUCCCGUGUUCGAGUCACGGUGGGCCCACCA